GACGAACCGUGCGAACGUUGGUCGGAUUCACUGGGCUUAAAGGGCGCGUAGGCGGGUUGUCAAGUCAGGGGUGAAAGCCUCCAGCUCAACUGGAGAAGUGCCUUUGAUACUGAUGAUCUUGAGGGAGGUAGGGGCAUGUGGAACUUCCGGUGGAGCGGUGAAAUGCGUAGAUAUCGGAAGGAACGCCGGUGGCGAAAGCGACGUGCUGGACCUCUUCUGACGCUGAGGCGCGAAAGCUAGGGGAGCAAACGGG
rnacentral:rRNA from 1 species